ACCAUGUUGCCUUUCUGAAACGAACCAACAUUGGCUAGAUUGGUCACAUAGACAAGGAUGGUUUAGUAAAUUGACUGAAUUCCAUUCUGAGCCUCUGGAUUAUAAACCUGCCUUUCUCUUCCAUUUGAACUAAGCUUGCUUUCUAAAGAUUUACAGGGUGCUGUUGUAAAUGUCUGUGUGAUCGAUCAUACUCUCAUCCGCAUCAAAAGUUGGCAACUAAACAGCCAUACAAAACCCAAUUCAUAUUUGUGCAAGAUGGUGGAUGCUGUAGUAACUGUAUUCUUGGAGAAACUGCUAGGAGCUUUAUCAGAAGAGAGCCGCAUUUUUAGUGAAUUCAGGGACCAUUUUGAAACACUACAAAAUGAGCUUCUACUGAUGCAAAGCUUUCUCAAAGAUGCUGGGAGACUCAAGAGAAAGAAUCAGACUGUUCGCAGCAUUAUGGCUAAUUUGCGAGAACUGAUUUACCAAGCUGAAGACAUACUAGCAGAUUGUCAACUUCACUCGAGUGAUGAUGUUCCAAUUUCCAGUGGUUGGCUAAUGUGCAUCUACCCUUCAAGACUUCGGUUCCAGUAUCAGACCGGAAAGAGCCUCGGAGAAAUCAAUAAGAAGAUUGCCAACAUUAAACAGAACAUUUCAUCCUAUCUUGGAGUUCCACUUCUAAGCCAACUAGAGCCAAUUGAUGCACAAAAUGAACUAAUGCCUAGAUGGAGUAGCCCUGUGUAUGACCAUACUCAAGUUGUUGGUUUGGAAGGCGAUGCGAAUAAGUUAAAGCAAUGGCUGUUUGAAGCGGACAAUGACAUACUAUCUAUUGGAGUAGUGGGAAUGGGAGGAUUGGGGAAGACCACAAUUGCCCAAAAAGUAUUUAAUGACAGGAGUGUUGAGGAGCACUUUGAAAGAAGAAUUUGGGUAUCUGUUUCUCAAACAUUUACAGAAGAACAAAUCAUGAGAAGCAUGUUGCGAAACUUGGGAGAUGCCAGCGUAGGAGAUGAUAAAGGUGAGUUAAUGAAGAAAAUACAUGAGUAUCUCUUAGGCAAGAGGUAUUUGAUUGUAAUGGAUGACGUGUGGAGCUUAGAUGUCACUUGGUGGCUGAGGAUUUAUGAAGGACUGCCUAAAGGAAAUGGAAGCAGCAUAAUUAUUACGACAAGGAUAGAGGAGGUUGCACAGAAGAUGAGAGUGAAGGAAGAAAGAUUACAUUGGCCCAAAUGCCUUAACAGAGAUGAUAGUUGGCUCUUAUUUAGAAAUGUUGCUUUUGCAGCUAGUGGAGGUGAGUGUAUGCAUUCAGAACUAGAAGAUGUUGGAAAGGAAAUCGUUGAAAAGUGUAAGGGCCUUCCAUUAGCAAUCAAGGCAGUUGGAGGAAUAAUGUUAUGCAAACCAUCAAGGUAUCAUGAAUGGAGGCGAAUUGCUAACCAUUUUCGUGAUGAGUUAGCAGAAAAUGAUAACUCGGUUAUGGCUUCUCUACAACUGAGUUAUGAUGAACUUCCAUCCUAUCUGAAGUCAUGUUUCCUUUGUUUGUCUCUUUAUCCAGAAGAUUGCAUCAUAACCAAAGAUCAAUUGGUGCAUUGGUGGAUUGGAGAAGGUUUUAUUCCUCUCAGAAAUGGUCGAUCAGCAGUUGAAGCUGGGGAAGAUUGUUUCUCUGGGCUAACAAAUCGGUGCUUGCUAGAAGUGGUGGACAAGACCUAUCAUGGAACAAUCUCCGCAUGUAAAGUUCAUGAUAUGGUUCGGGAUGUGGUGAUAACUAUGGCAGAAGAUGAUGCAUUUUUCAAGCCAGAUGACACAAAUUGCCGCCAUUUGGGUAUUACAACUAGCACGGUUCAGAAGGCAAACCAUAAAUUGCGAGCAUUGCUAUCUACAACUAAGACCGCAGAAGUGAACAAGAUUUCUUCCAACAUUGGCACGAAGUUUUGUCAGUCUCAAUACUUACGAGUAAUGGAUCUUUCCAGGUCAAUCUUUGAUACACCUCUCUCAAGUAUUUUAAAUCAGAUUGGUUUUCUUCAACACUUAACUUACCUUAGCGUAAGUAACACACAUCCAUUGGUUCAACUUCCACAUUCACUUGAGAAGCUUAGCAACCUUCAGAUUUUGGAUGUCAGCUAUUGUCAAAACUUGAAGAUACUCCCCUCCUGUAUUGUGACUUUCAAGAAGCUAAGAGUCUUCGAUGUAAGUCAUUGUGGGUCACUCAAAUAUCUACCUAAAGGCUUGGGAAGACUCUCAAAUCUUGAGGUGUUAUUGGGAUUCAAGCCUGCUAAGUCAAGCCAGUUAGAAGGUUGCCGGAUUGCUGAGCUCAGAAAUUUGAUUCGACUUAGAAGACUUGGGCUUCAACUAACUUGUUCCGAUGAGAUUGGAGACACUGAGGUCAAUGUAUUGGUAAAUCUUCAAGAACUGCAACAUUUGUCAAUAAGUUGCUUUGACAGUCAUGGUGAUGACCUCAUAACAAAGCUGGAUAAGUUAUUUCCUCCUCAACAGCUCCAUGAGCUAAGUCUAAAGUUUUAUCCAGGGAAGAUGAGUCCUAUCUGGCUCAAUCCCAUCUCACUUCCUAUGUUGAGGUAUCUUUCAAUAUCAUCGGGCAAUCUUACAAAGAUGAACGAAAGGUUUUGGGGAGAUGACAAUACUGUUUGGAAAAUUGAGGGCUUAAUGUUGGAAUCUCUCUCAGACUUGGAAGAAGAAUGGGUGAAGGUUCAACACGUCAUGCCAUCAUUAAGAGUUGUCACUGUAAGUUGGUGCCCCGAGUUGGUGUCCUUUCCCAUAGAGGAUAUUGGGUUUAGAGGUGGUGUCUGGAAGUAGGAAGACAGAAUACAUGUCCUACUGUCGAAUUUUAGCAUGUCUGGAGUUUUAUCAAUUUCCUUGGUAAAAUGUACACGCUUGUUCGAUUCAGAUGAAUGAAAAGGAUCGAAAUUCUUGAUCUAACCAAGUAAACAUACAUAUUAGAAAUCCCUGAUGUCUAUUAUGUUUGCUCUCGCCAUACAUAAGAUCCAUACAUAAGAUCUGUUACAUC